AGCUGUAAAUAAAAAAGGGCUUAUGUUUAACUUACCACCAGGUAUAGUAACAUAUAACAGACAAAAAUAGUAAAUGAUUACCAAAAUUAAACCCGCAUUUUAAUGUAAAAUUACAACCUAAGUUUUAACAUCUCGCUAUCCUAUUUAAGCAAACUGGCUCCAAAAAACUCAUUGUUAGCCCAAAAAUAGUUAAUGAAAACCAAAUUAUUAACCAUAUUUUAAUUUAAAAUGAAAUGCAAAAAAAUAAAAUCUCGUUAUCCGAUUAAAGUAAAUUACCCUCGGCAAAAAAAAUAUUUUGCCAAACACAGUAAAGUAAAUUUACUCCUAACCUUUUUGUCUCCAAAUUGAUUAACCACUACAAAAAAAAAUUAUCUUGAGCGUUUCGUUUACAACCAAAUGCUAUACCUAAAAUAAAAAAUAAAACUCUUACAAUUUCAAUAAUCCCUUUUUUAAUUAUUGAAACAAUCAUUAAAAAGAUAGUCCUCUUAAAACUAAUAAUAAACAGUUCAAAGAUCUUAAAACUAAACUAAUAAUAAGCAUUUAAAAAAUCUUAAGAAGAAUCAGUCUUCUGUAUUAAUUCACUGCACAAUUAAUGCUUUCUUAGCUUUGGCUGGUCGUCCUCUUUUGCGCUUCAUGCCAAUCGGAAUAGCUCUGGCCUCUGAAGGUGGCUGGACGUGCUUAAGCCGAAUCGCCAAUCCAACGAGAUGUCCCAGUGUGGUGGGAGAGGAUCGUAAGCCGCAGACAUAACUUAAUAUGGCAUCAUAAUGCUUCAUUUGGUAAUAAGCCUACAUUUUAUGUCAAUCAUAGUGGUUUAUUUAGGCAGAAAUAGCGCAUUAAUUUGCUCGCUAAGAUUUGGUGAUCAUUUACUACAUUUGGUGUUCGAAUACAAUUUGAAGUGCAGUCGUGACUAAAAUAGCUAGUACUAUUGUAAUUUUAGACGUUAUUUAUCUGGUGUUAAGUAUAUAUUUUUGGUAAAAGAACUAAGGGUAUCAAAGCAUUUUAUGGUGAUCAUUAUAUUUAACCCCUUU